AAAAAAGAAUUCAUCGUUUCUGUUGUAAUAAUGUAAUCGAGGUGGUUUGUUAUGGGUGAGCAUUCUGGUGAGAUGUAGACCAUUCUGUAAAGGUUGAUUCUCCAUUUUCUGUGCGGUCCCUAAUUUGAUGUUGUAAUCUGCUUCAGAUAAUUUCUGGUAACUUAAGAAAGAGAGAGAAUGGAAGAGGCUCAAGCAAAAUCAUAGCAUAAAAUGGUAUUCCAUGUUUGUCAGCUUUUCUGCUCUGCAAGUGAGAGGUUGUAUGUUAGUGCGCAAGCAUCUCUUCUUGAUGCAUGGGCUUAAAAACACUUUUGAGAUUGUUUUUGAAAGAAUUGCUUCCAAAUAGUCAUAAAGAUGGUUAGCCAGCCUUUGUAUAGAAGUAAUAUUUGCGUAUAUGUUCUUGCGAAAUAUUUUUAUUUAUAAAUUGGUUUUCAAAUUUAUGAAAAUACUUGAUUUUUGUUUGUUUA